UUUGGUUGCGCUGCAGAUAAGACACUGGGGGCGGUAAUGAGUCAGUUCAUCGAAACUCUUCGUCGAAGAAGACUGAAACACGGAAGUGGUCUUUGUUUUUUGCAGCGGGAAAGAGAAGGCGAGCAGCUGGGCCAAAAUGAUGCCAUCUAGGAAGAAGGAAAAUGUGGUCAAAUCUGAGGUCUCCUCAAAGCUCUUUGUGUCUGGUGGCAAACCAAUGUCUUUCUACCUGCGACCUGGUCCCAUCAAACACAAGCUGGUGUCACACAUCACAUCUGGAGGGGGGUCGCUGUCGUCAGUCCAGCAGCCGGGAGCCAUCCUGCUGGUUGACCCCAGUGAACGAGACUGUAUUCCUGAGAGUACUAGUCACUGGUAUGUUUCCACCACAUACAUUGACGACUGCGUAAAAAAGAAUCAACUGUUGAAUUUAGAGGAAUACAGGUUAAAUCCCAAAGAAACCCCAGGACCGUCUGCAGAACAUUUUGAUAAACUCAACAGCAAAGGAAAAAAAGUGCAACUCACAGGAGGGCGGUCCUCGUACACUGCUGAAGAGGAUGAUGCCAUUUUGAGUUAUGUCAUCAAGCACAGGGAACAGACUGGUGGGAACCGGCUGUGGCAGAAGAUGGAGAAGCUGCGGGUGACGAGUCACAGCUGGCAGUCCAUGAAGUAUCACUACAGACAGAAACUGGGAAAGAUGCUGUCUGAGGUCACGAAGUUAGAUGCUGAGCCCAGGAAAGCUAAAGUAAAAGAAAUCCCAAACCUUCCUGAAGCUGAAGAGACGCAGUUGGUUCCACAGACGGACCUUCUCCUCAGUCCAGCUGAGGACACACCAGCACAGUCACAAACAACCAUCUCUCCACAAAAAUCGCUGUUCCCUCCUACCCUGGUACCAGAGGUUCAACCACUGAGGCGUUCCACCCGCAGGAGGCUCGAUGUUGAUGCUACAGCUGUGGAUGAACCUCGCAAAAAAGGACGACGGUUUGUGGAGCCAACAGCAGAGUCUGUCAGGGAAACCACCUCAGCUGUGAGUGUGUGUGAGGAGAAGGACACCACAGAUGACUCGGCUCCUUCUCAGAGAUCCAGAGGAGACGGUGAGGCCACAGUGGCUGAGCUUCAGCAGCCGUUGGAGGAUGACGACGCACAGGUGUCCACUGGUCCACCAGUUUCUGUGUCUUUAGAUAAAGAAUCCCAGUCACUGUUGGAGGAUGGGAGUGAGGGAGGAGAGCAGAGAGAGCUGGGAAUGUUGGAGAUGGCUACCAAAGAGUUUGAAGAUCAAUUUAAGACUGCUGAGGAUGAUGCUGUUGAUGUCCAACCUGAGGUAACUCAGGAGAAGAAUGCACCACUGGCACCACCACCAGCCUUGCCUACAGGACAGGGCUCAACGCAGUCCAACCCUGAACCAGGACCAAGUGAUCAGGUAGAACCCAGGCUUCAGACCAUCAGCCCAGAGCCCCCUGAGCCAAAGACCCCUGCUGCUGCUGCUGCUGCUGCUGCUGCUGCUGCUGCUGAUGAUGAUGAUGAUACUGAUACUCAUCCAGGCUCCAGGGCCCACCUCUUCAUAUUUGAGAGUGGACCUCAGGAGGCAGACAGUCGUGCUGUGGUUGGUCACAGAACCACAGCUUUGUCCAACUCACAGCCACCUGUGACCAAAGCCUCUGCUGUGAGUUCCACUCAGCUCCAGUUGGAGGAGGAUGUUCAGGAAAUCCAGACCUUGAUGGAGCGAACAGAUAAGGACCUUUACUGUGUGACUAAGGCUCUACUGAAGACCAGCGGAGACUUCUGUGCUGCGUUCCACCUCCUCAUGAAUCCCACUAGGUUUUCUGGACCGUUCUGGAAUCGCUCCGACGACAGUCGUCUGCGCUCGGGGGAUCCUGUGGUCCGACAGCAGCUACGGGACAAAUACGGUGAUGCAGAACUGGUCAAAAGAAUCGGGUUUCUGGAAUUGGAAAGAUGAGACGGUGGAAAACACAUCUUCAAGUUGGACAUUCUUCAGCCAUCGUAUCAGGACCUCAUGUUCUCAGAAUUUAAGUGGAGGAAAAGGCUGGGCAUCAACCAAUAUGAGUCCGACUUCAGUCAAAAUAGUUAUAGUCGGCGGCUGCUGAUGCUGGCGAAGCAUUGCUAACGCUACCCUGUCCUGUUGUUUUGGAGUAAUGUUUCAUUAGCAUAAUUCUCUCUGAGAUGACUUCAGUUUCAGCAGAAUUACUGGUCAGUAACGCACACAAAAAUCCUGCAUACCCCAGCUUUAAAU